ACUGGCUUCAUUGGUUUCAUUGGUUUCAGUUACAAAUACAAAAUGAAAGAUGAUCAAAGCAUAAAUAAAUAUUAGAAUUUGAGUCAUAUUUUUUCUCUUUUUCUUUUGUAUUAUAUAUUUUUUUCUCUUUUUGUAGGUAAUAAACAUAAUAUUUUGAUUGCUUUAUACGUAAAAUGUACAUGCCUUGUUAGCAUCAAUUAAGUUUUUUUUUAACACUUAGGAGUUGGAAGAAGCAAAUUAUGAAAUUUGAACUAAUGCUAAAUGUCUCGAAUCAAUAUACCGUGUGUAUCCCUUCAGCUCUCUGAAUUGAGAAUCAUCAAUGUUCAUUAUUUUUAUAUUAAUUCAUAUUUUGACAUUAAUAUUUUAGAGUUUUGAAUAAUAGAUGCGAAAGACAUGGAAAAUGAGAAAUAUUAUUAUUGAAUGAUCAAAA
rnacentral:lncRNA from 1 species